rnacentral:tRNA from 1 species
CUAAGAGAAAGAUAAAUUAAGGCUAAUUCCAUUAACUCUUCCCUGCUCUUUUCUUUUUGUAAAAGAGUUUUUAAAACCAAGAUUGUUUUUAUAGGCUUGAGAACAGUUUGUAUAUUUAUUUUUUAGGAAUAUUAAAGAAUUUCGUUAAGCCCAAGCUUGAGUUUAGAUUGAUUGGGGGUUUAGCUCAGUUGGCUAGAGCAUCGGCUUUGCAAGCCGAGGGUCAAGGGUUCGAGUCCCUUAACCUCCAUUACGCAUAUAGAUUAAGCAUGUUGUUAAGCAAGUUUAUUAAAGGUUAAAAUAAUUAUUGGAAUAGGAGAUAGGGAAAAGUUAAGAAAGGUUAGAAGGCAAACAAAAUAAUAAGCAAAGCGUAUUAAUUCUUUUAAAUAAGAACAAGAAUUACGAAGGGUUUGGCUCUGGCCCAGAACUAACCCUAUUGGUUUGUCUUAAACAUGCAAGUCAAGCGGGAUAUAGUAAUAUAUUUGGUGGCUAACAAGCAAUUAGCGUGUGAAUGAUUUACCUAUGAGAUGGGAACAACCACUAGAAAUAGUAUAUAGGUUUAUGUAUAAAUGUCAUAGCUCAAUUAUAGAUCUAUGUUGUCAAUUAUAUAUCUAGGGCUUGAUAGAGGAAGUUAGAAUUUCUGAUGUAAGGGUGGCAUCUGUUGAUAUUAAGAAGGAUGUCAGAGACGAAGGCGAACUUUUGGGGCAAGGCUGAUACUGAGUCACGAAAGCGUAGGGAGCAAAUAGGAUUAGAUAUCCCAUCACUCUGUGCUGUAAAUGAUGAAAACUUAGUUUUAACUAAAAGUUGACACUAGGACUAACGUGUUAAGUAUAUCUCUUGAGGGGGAGAUUCUUUUAAUCGUGAAUCUUAAAGGAAUUGACUGGGGCCUGCAUAAGCGGUGGAGCAUGUAUUUAAAUUCGACGAUAUGCGGUGAACCUUGCCGGGGUUUGGUAUGUAUAGGAUGUGGUUAGAGAUAAUUAUUCCCCGCUUGGUAGUUAUAUAUAAUUGCUAUAUGGUUAUUGUCGGUUUUGAUUAUGAGGUGUUGAGCCAGCCCUAGCGAGGAGUUCAAUCUUCAUUUUUUAUUAUCGAUGCAUAAUGGUAUAGCCCUAGAUAAGACUGCAAGCGAUAAGUCAGCGGAAGAUGAGAAGGUCUAAAGUCAUUGUUCUAAUCUAUAAGAGAGUAAGGUAUUUGAGGUAUGUUUAGUGUGGGGUUAAAGGCUCAGUAAGGCAGCUGUAUUAUAAAAUAUGGUUGUUUUUAAGAUAAAGAUAAAUUAAGAUGAAUUUCAUUAAUUCUUCUCUGUAUUUUUAUUUUGAUGAAAAUUUUUUUAAGUCAAAGUAAAUUUUUAGUUUAAACUUUAGAAAAAAUAAAUCUUUGGUAAGUAUUUAGUGUUAUAUAGUUUAGUAUUGAAUUAGGCGUUGUUAAUAGUAGAUCAUAAUUUUAAUUUUGAAGUGAAAAGCUUUUAUAUUGCUAGAUGUGCAUUUUAAAUCUAAUAUAACGGCAAUUGGCCAUUUUAAAAUUGAGAUUAUAUUCUAAAUAUUACUUAAUAUUUACCAAAUUUUUUAUUGUUUUGAUUAAUUGGCUUAAAGGAAUACCGAAGUGAUUAUAAUAAUGGAACACAUUGGGACCAGGAUGAGUUGAACAUCCGACCUCAGGUUUAUCAGACCUGCGCUCUAACCACCUGAGCUAUGAUCCCUUAAACGUACCAAUUCUUUACAAAUUUUAUUUAAAUCUUCUGACUUUGUCAAUAUCUCUUAUAUCUUGAAAAGAUAUAAGAGAUAUUGUAUAUGGUUUAUGAUUUUCCAUAUAUUUAUUAAUGCCUGCUAUUUUAUAUAAGUGUUUUAUAAGAUUUGUUAAUUUUAUUUCUACCUAUUUAAAAGAUUGUUAUGAUUGAUAUCAAUUAUUUUGAUAUUGAAAUUGCAGCAUUUUAUUGUGUGGUUGUUUUGAGUAGGUCAUAAAAACUUUUAAAGUUAUAGCAUUAUUUCUUUAUUCAACUUUUCCAAAAAAGUUGAAUAAAGAAAUAAUGCUGCUUUUGUUUUGGCGGCUUUUAUCUUUACCUGAAGCGUCCUUUAAAGGUAAAGAUAUUUUUCUUUUUUUGAAGUGCAAUCAAUUUUUAGAAAUAUUUUUUAUUGAUCGAUAGAUUAAUUUAAUCAAUUUUUUAUAAAAUAUCUUUUAUUUUUACUGCUUAGAUAUUUUGAAUUAGUAUUUUCAUAUAAGCGUAUUGAAGCUGGGCUAUUUUAGCUUUUUAAUUUGUUUUUAUUGCUAUAGAGGAAUAGAUUAAAAGUAGUCUAAAAAGUAUUAUACUUGAUGCAUUAUGCAUGACCAAUGUUUGAUUUUUUAAAAAAUGCAAAACAUUUUAUUAGUAGGUAUUUAUAAUUGAAAAUCUAUAAAUACCUAUUUUAAAAAUUAAGCUUUAUUAAUAGAUGGGGGAUUGUUCAGACCUUUUUCCAAUCUUAGCAAUUGAAAUUUUUCAAGAAUUUAUUAUUAAAAGUUUUUCACAUAGGUAGAUCUAAAAUCUAUGAAUUUGUGUACUGUUAAAUUUUUUUGCUUUUUAAUCAACAAAAAUUUAUUAACCAGUCAAGAAUUUUAUUAAAAUAUGUAUUUAUUGAAUAAUUAAACCAUUUUAGUUUUUAUGCUUAUUAUGGGUAAUGUGUUUUUGUAUUUUACAUAUGUGUUUUGGCAAUAAUUUUUUUUAUUAUUAUCUUGUUUUAAAAUUGAGUUUAUGGAUCGAUAUUUUUUUUUGCAAGAUGCUACUACUGUUGCAAGGUUAUUGCUUGGCAAUUUAUUGAUCAGGAAAAUUAAUAAAAAGGAAAUAGUUGGCAGAAUUGUUGAAACAGAAGCUUAUAUGGGAAUAGCAGAUAGCGCUUGUCAUUCUUAUGGCGGCAAGAGAACAAAUCGCACAAAUGCUAUGUAUAGCAUAGGAGGAUAUUCUUAUGUAUAUAUGAUAUAUGGAAUGCAUUACAUGUUUAAUAUUGUGACUGCAGAUAAAAACAAUCCCCAAGCCGUUUUAAUUAGAAGCAUAGAACCUAUUUCUCCAUUAUUGGGGAAGAAAAGUGCUCUUACUAAUGGCCCGGGUAAACUUACAAAAUUUUUAAACAUUGAUUUAACUUUUAAUGAAGUUGAUCUUAUUGGUAAUAAUGAGCUUUUUUUGCAAAGAGAUUUGAAUCUAGAUUUUAAUAUAGUUUGUUCAAAAAGAAUAAAUAUUAAUUAUGCUCAAGAGUAUGAUAUAAACAAACUUUGGAGAUUUUAUAUUAAAGAUAAUAAAUGUGUUUCAAGGCUUUGAUUUUCGUUUAAAUAAAGUUUUAAAAAAAAUCAAAAAAUAUAAUUUGCUUAAAUUUGAUUAUUUUAUGUUUUAGGAUCAAUUUAUUGAGAAUAAAUUAUUUGUGAUAUUAUAUCUUACAAGAGAGAUUUAUAUAUGAAUUCCAAUUAUAAAAGAUAUAAAAUGUUGGUUUUUGACCUUGAUGGUACUUUGCUGAACGAUAAUCAUGAGAUUGCUUUUUUAACCCUUGAGGUUCUUUCGAUCUUGAAGAAAGAUUUUAAAAUAAUUAUUGCAACUGGUAGAAGGUUGAGUGAAAUUAGAAAUGUCAGGAAUCAAUUAAAAGAAAUUAAUAUUAAUGAGAAUUAUCUUGUAACGGCAAAUGGAGCUGAAGUGUUUUUACAAGAAAAUUUAAUUUUUAGACAUGUAAUGAGUUAUAGCUUAGUAAAAGAAAUUCUCAAGAUACAUAAAGAUAAUGUUGAUGUUAAUCUUUAUACUUUUGACACUUGGUAUUCUAAUUCAGAUGUUAAAAGUCCCAUUAUGAAACAUUUUAUUAAGGAUUUAGGCUUAAAUGCUGUCAUCGGAGAUUUGACUGCAUUAGGCAUUGAUUCUGUUUCUAAGAUUGUUUAUUAUUGUGACGAUUUAGCAACUCUUAAUAAACUUGAAAAUGAGAUUAAGAAUAAAGAUUUUCAGGACAUAAGGGUGUUUUUUUCUUUUAAGGAUUUAUUAGAGAUUACCAAUAUUAAUGCUUAUAAGUAUAAUGCUAUUAAAAAUAUUGCUUUUCUUGAAAACAUUCCAUUGUCUGAUUGUUUAGCCUUUGGAGACAAUAAUAAUGAUUAUGAGAUGCUCAAAAAUCUUGGCAAAGGGGUUUUAAUGAAAAAUGCUAAUGAAUUUCUUAAGAUUAACUUAGCAAAUAAUGAAACAACAAGAUUUAGUAAUAAUGAGGAUGGUGUUGCUAAGUUUUUAGUUGAUUUUUUUGAGCUUAAUAUUAAAUAUGAAUAGUUUGGGUUCAAAUGUUUAAUACAUUUGGUUUGUUUUUAGUAGAAUUUUUUACUUAUAAUGUAUUUUUGUAAAUUUAUUUAUUAAAAUAUUGGAAUAAGUAUUGACAUGGAUUAAACAAAGAUAUAUAUUAUUCUAUGUUGUAUAAACAAAUUGGCAAAAUAGAGAUGGAAGAUAAAAAUAU